CGAAUACGAGACGCUACGGCGUCGAAGUAGUGUAUGUCAUACUUCCAAGAAAAGCUUGCACUGUCAUAAAUAAAAAGUGCCUGUACCAUAACCGACACAGGUGGGUAGGUAGAGUAUACUAAGGGGCGCGAGAUAACUCUCUCUAAGGAACUCGGCAAAAUAACUCCGUAACUUCGGGAGAAGGAGUGCCUUGUUUACAUAAGGUUGCAAUAACAAGAUCCAAGCAACUGUUCACCAAAAACACAGGUCUCCGCUAAGUCGUAAGACGAUGUAUGGGGGCUGACGCCUGCCCAGUGCCAGAAGGUUAAGAAGUUGGUUAGCAUCUGCGAAGCUGAUAACUGAAGCCCUGGUGAACGGCGGCCGUAACGAUAACGGUCCUAAGGUAGCGAAAUUCCUUGUCGGGUAAGUUCCGACCCGCACGAAAGGCGUAAUGAUUUGGAUACUGUCUCGGAGAGGGGCUCGGUGAAAUAGACUUGUCUGUGAAGAUGCGGACUACCUGCACCUGGACAGAAAGACCCUAUGAAGCUUUACUGUAACUUGAAAUUGAAAUUGGACUUUAUUCGCGCAGCAUAGGUGGGAGGCUUUGAAGAUACUCUUGCGGGAGUAUUCGAGCUAUCAGUGAGAUACCACUCUUAUAAUGUUAGAUUUCUAACUUUGAACCAUUAUCUGGUCAAAGAACAGUUUCAGGCGGGCAGUUUGACUGGGGCGGUCGCCUCCUAAACGGUAACGGAGGCGUACAAAGGUUUCCUCUGAACGGAUAGAAAUCGUAUCUAGAGUAUAAAGGCAUAAGGAAGCUUGACUUUGAGACCUACAAGUCGAGCAGGGACGAAAGUCGGUCUUAGUGAUCUGACGGUACUGAGUGGAAAGGCCGUCACUCAACGGAUAAAAGUUACUCUAAGGAUAACAGGCUGAUCUCCCCCAAGAGUUCACAUCGACGGGGAGGUUUGGCACCUUGAUGUCGGCUCAUCGCAUCCUGGGGCGGUAGUACGUCCCAAGGGUUGGGCUGUUCGCCCACGAAAGCGGUACGCGAGCUGGGUUCAGAACGUCGUGAGACAGUUCGGUCCAUAUCCGGUGUAGGCGUUAGAAUAUUGAGAGGAGCCUUCUCUAGUACGAGAGGACCGAGAAGGACAUACCUCUGGUGUACCAGUUAUCGUGCCAACGGUAAACGCUGGGUAGCUAUGUAUGGAGUGGAUAACCGCUGAAAGCAUCUAAGUGGGAAGCCCACCUCAAGAUAAGUAUUCUCA
rnacentral:rRNA from 1 species